UACGAAGGGGGCUAGCGUUGCUCGGAAUCACUGGGCGUAAAGGGUGCGUAGGUGGUGAGGUAAGUCGGAUGUGAAAUCUCCGGGCUCAACCCGGAAAUGGCAUUGGAAACUACCUUGCUGGAGGAUUUGAGGGGGGAUUGGAAUACUUGGUGUAGCAGUGAAAUGCGUAGAUAUCAAGUGGAACACCAGUGGCGAAGGCUAAUCCCUGGAAAAUACCUGACACUGAGGCACGAAAGCUAGGGGAGCAAACAGG
rnacentral:rRNA from 1 species